CUUAUCCUGACAUAUAUCAGAGUUCUUCAAGUUCCACAUGACAGUCAUUAAACAUCAGAUUUCCAUCAUCACCUUUGCAUCUUUUGAUUCUUUCAUUUGUCCAGCCACAGUCAGUAAGCUGGUAAACACAGACGUCACUAACAGCUAGCAGUAAUGCUAACUGUUUCAAAGUCCU